CUCAAAGGAGGCAGCUGUUUGGCGCAGUUUCAAUCCCCACAAGCGUGACUGCUUGGUAUAUCAAAGUUCACAGCCUCUUGUCCAUCAACUCGGCGAGAAGGAGAAGCCUCUCCAAGAGGCUGUUUGCUAGCUAGCUUCAGCUCCGUGGAACACAAGGACUUCAAGCGUCUGCCUGUGGUGGUCCAGCCCAGCCAGGGAAUUCUAAGCCGCUCCAAAUAAGGGGCCCCUGGAAGUAAAACCAACAGUUCUUACCAUGCCCUCCCCUCUUCUCCUCCAGGGCAAGGGAUCCUUCCCGUGAAAAGGAUCUUGUUCUGGGUGUGAGUCUUCCAUGAAGUCCGCUUGUAGAAACAGCCUUGACUGUGAGACAUAAGAGCUGGAUCACUGAAAGUUAUGAAAGAAAAUAGACAAAACACCAAGAUAUGAUUCCAGAAUUUUCCAGAACUACAGGACAGAUUCUGAAAGGCUUUCCGAUCAGACCUGGCAUAUAUCCCAUUGGCUCUCGAACUUUCAGCCUUUUGGACUUCAUCACCAGACUCCCUGCUUCUCUAGUUUGAAGAUGGCAGAUCAUGGGACAUCUCAACCUCCAGAAUCGUGUGA